GUCUCUAGAGACCUUGAUCGAACAACUAAUUGUUGUGUCAUGCAACCCAAAAAUGGAACUCCUCCUGGUAAUGUAUUAUGGAGCUCAACAAACACCAUUUCUCUCAUUUCAAUACUAACCCAUUUCUCUUCUUUACUUCAACAACAACACAAACCCUGCAUUUUCAUCAACCCCUUCUCUUCCAAAUCCCAAUCCCAAACCAAAGCCCCAAACUUCACCCUCUUCUACCUCAUCAACACCGAGAAGUUGUUUUUCGAGAGGUUUGUGGGGGCAGUUUCAGGAUCGUGUGUCGGGGCUUAUGGAGGUGUAUAGAGGGCGCGUUGAUCACCUGGGUGUGGUGCUGUAGAUUGUAAAGGUUUCUGCUGGCUCUUCAAUUGUUCAGUUGUUGUUCAUCACAUUGCUAUGAUCGACCUCGAUUUUGCAUUUUGUGCUUGAAGAUUUCAGUUGUAGGCUUCAGUAGUUUGGAAUUUAUAGCAUACUGAUUCAGGGGUCGUUCAGCUAAAUCCUCUUACUCGUGAUUUUGAAUUGUGGUAUCAUGGUUGAUUUAUUUCUUUUCCUAGCACUAAAUAGUACUACUAUUUAGUGUUCUACGGUCUAUGAUUGGCCUUGAUUUUGAGUUGUGUAUGUUUUGGGGCAGAGCCAUAGAGGGAGUUUGUAGUUUGAGUCAUAUUUAUGGCAUACUGAUUCAGUGGUCAUUUAGCUAAAUCUGGUUAUUGAUGAUUUUAAAUUGUGGCAUCAUGGUUGAUUUAUUACUCUUCCUGUUCCUGGCACCAAAAAGAGUGCCUAGUGUUUUAUAUUAUAGUCUAUGAAGGUUUCUUCAGGAAUUGUCUCUACUCCAAUUGUGGUUUAUUUCAUUCCUAAGAUUGACUUCCAGGUUGUCAUUUGGUGACCUUUUGUAGUGACAGGUUCUAGUCUCAAACAAUUUCUGCACUUCGGGUAAGGUUGAGACUGUACAAUUGACUCUACCAUAUAGUAGUGAAAGCCUUGUGCAUCAUCAGGGGCUUUGGAGUGUGGUGAUUAUUCUUGUAGUACAUCUUAACCUAUUAAUCUUGCUGGAUACUGAUAUAAGCAACUUUGGUGGAUUAACCAUGGAAGACGACGAUAUUAACAGGGGGUACUAAUUAGACCUGUAGUUCACUUUCCCUCAGUUUUCACUUUUUUGCUUACCCAUCAAAUUUCUAUAAGUGCAUACUUUUAUGUGGAAUCAUGGAUACAUCCAAAUGAUUUUAAAUUUUUUAUCUUCAUGGGUAAUGAGUUUUAUGAUAUUGAUAUUGUUUGUAGUGAAAUAUUGGAUUAGCUACUGGAAAGCAAGUGUAACCUUUACUCUUCCCCAUUGUUUUCAUAAACAAAGGUUGUUCUUUUAUAAAUAAUUCAUUCUUUUUUUUGCGAGGACAUCUAAGAUCAAUAUGCUUCAAGUUCAAAAUAGGUGAGAUUUGUGAUUAUCAGAACUGAAGUUUUAGAAGUAUUUUUGUAUGAAGAUAUAUGUUAUAGUUAUUAUGGAUCUUAGUUCUGUACUGAUGCCUUGAUAUGUUAAUAUUUUUGCUAUGAUCUCCCUUGUUCUUGGCACCCACCUUAUCUUUAUUGCACAUUUGGUACCUGAGUAUGAGACUGUAGUUUGUUUUUGGAGUCAAAUGAUAACUUCCUUUAUGUCAGAAGACUUGGAAUAGCAUGUCUGUACUUGUCUGCUAUCCUAAAUUUGGUUAUAUAUAUUUUCCCAAAAGCAAUAUCUCUUUCAACCAUUCUGAACUAAAGUGAUCUAGAUUACAAUAACGUUAAUUUAAGAUGAUUCCAAACACGAAAUGUUAUUUAGAAUCUAUCUUGGAGUGCCUCAAGCAUACAUCUCAUUUCUAGAAACCAAUUUUCAAGCAUUCCAAAUUUUCUGAAGCAUUCAAAAGAUAGAUGGAUAAGGAAAUGGGAUUAGGUCCCUUGAAGACAAAUCUGUUCCUUGCAACACAAGUGCUUGCAAAGUUGAGUCAAACAAUGUAAAAUGGAAUAUACAUCGUCAAAUUCUAGGGGACUCUAGGGAAAUACAAUUGUUUUCAUUUGUGCAAAAUAUUAUCUUGUUUUCCUAUAUAUGUACGAUGUUGAAUUUGGAGUGA